AUUGAACGCUGGCGGCAGGCCUAACACAUGCAAGUCGAGCGGAUGAAGGGAGCUUGCUCCUGGAUUCAGCGGCGGACGGGUGAGUAAUGCCUAGGAAUCUGCCUGGUAGUGGGGGAUAACGUCCGGAAACGGGCGCUAAUACCGCAUACGUCCUGAGGGAGAAAGUGGGGGAUCUUCGGACCUCACGCUAUCAGAUGAGCCUAGGUCGGAUUAGCUAGUUGGUUGGGUAAAGGCCUACCAAGGCGACGAUCCGUAACUGGUCUGAGAGGAUGAUCAGUCACACUGGAACUGAGACACGGUACAGACUCCUACGGGAGGCAGCAGUGGGGAAUAUUGGACAAUGGGCGAAAGCCUGAUCCAGCCAUGCCGCGUGUGUGAAGAAGGUCUUCGGAUUGUAAAGCACUUUAAGUUGGGAGGAAGGGCAGUAAGUUAAUACCUUGCUGUUUUGACGUUACCAACAGAAUAAGCACCGGCUAACUUCGUG
rnacentral:rRNA from 1 species